CAACAGGGAUUGCCUUAGUAACGGCGAGUGAAGCGGCAAAAGCUCAAAUUUGAAAUCUGGCACCUUCGGUGUCCGAGUUGUAAUUUGAAGAAGGUAACUUUGGAGUUGGCUCUUGUCUAUGUUCCUUGGAACAGGACGUCACAGAGGGUGAGAAUCCCGUGCGAUGAGAUGCCCAAUUCUAUGUAAAGUGCUUUCGAAGAGUCGAGUUGUUUGGGAAUGCAGCUCUAAGUGGGUGGUAAAUUCCAUCUAAAGCUAAAUAUUGGCGAGAGACCGAUAGCGAACAAGUACAGUGAUGGAAAGAUGAAAAGAACUUUGAAAAGAGAGUGAAAAAGUACGUGAAAUUGUUGAAAGGGAAGGGCUUGAGAUCAGACUUGGUAUUUUGCGAUCCUUUCCUUCUUGGUUGGGUUCCUCGCAGCUUACUGGGCCAGCAUCGGUUUGGAUGGUAGGAUAAUGACUAAGGAAUGUGGCUCUACUUCGGUGGAGUGUUAUAGCCUUGGUUGAUACUGCCUGUCUAGACCGAGGACUGCGUCUUUGACUAGGAUGUGGCAUAAGUCUGUCC
rnacentral:rRNA from 1 species